ACCAAGGCUUACGGGUAGCCGACCUGAGAGGGUGACCGGCCACACUGGGACUGAGAACUGCCCAGACUCCUACGGGAGGCUGCAGUCGAGAAUCAUUGUCAAUGUACGAAAGUAUGAACAUGCGACGCCGCGUGGAGGACGAAGGCCUUCGGGUUGUAAACUCCUGUCCUGAGGGAGUAAGUGCAGGGAACUUAAUACGUUCCCUGUUUGAUAGUACCUCGGAAGAAAGUCACGGCUAACUCUGUGCCAGCAGCCGCGGUAAUACAGAGGUGGCAAGUGUUGUUCGGAUUUACUGGGCGUAAAGGGUCCCAGGCGGUCUUGUGUGUCGGAUGUGAAAGCUCACGGCUUAACCGUGGAAUUGCAUUCGAAACUACAGGACUAGAGUACAGGAGGGGAGAGGGGAAUUCAGGGUGUAGCGGUGAAAUGCGUAGAUAUCCUGAAGAACACCGGUGGCGAAGGCGCCUCUCUGGACUGAUACUGACGCUCAUGGACGAAAGCUAGGGGAGCGAAGAGGAUUAGAUACCCUCGUAGUCCUAGCCGUAAACGGUGUGCACUUGAUGUUGGAGGUUUACCCCUUUCAGUGUCGAAGCUAACGCGAUAAGUGCACCGCCUGGGAAGUACGGCCGCAAGGUUAAAACUCAAAGGAAUUGACGGGGGCCCGCACAAGCGGUGGAGCAUGUGGCUUAAUUCGAUGCAACGCGAAGAACCUUACCAGGGCUUGACAUGUAACUGCAUACGACCAGAAACGGACGUAGCCUUCGAGGGUGUUACACAGGUGCUGCAUGGCUGUCGUCAGCUCGUGCCGUGAGGUGUUGGGUUAAGUCCCGCAACGAGCGCAACCCCUAUGUUUAGUUGCCAGCACAUAAUGGUGGGAACUCUAAACAGACUGCUGGUGAAAGCCAGAGGAAGUUGGGGAUGACGUCAAGUCAGUAUGGUCCUUAUGCCCUGGGCUGCACACGUGCUACAAUGGGUGGUACAAAAGGAAGCAAUACCGCGAGGUGGAGCAAAUCCCCAAAACCAUCCCCAGUUCGGAUUGGAGUCUGAAAUUCGACUCCAUGAAGUUGGAAUCGCUAGUAAAGGUAUAUCAGCUACGAUACCUUGAAUACGUUCCCGGGCCUUGUACACACCGCCCGUCACAUCAUGGAAGUCUGCUGUACCCGAAGUCGCUGAUCUAACCAUUUAUUUGGAAGAAGGCGCCGAAGGUGUGGCCGAUGACUGGGAUGAAGUCGGAACAAGGUA
rnacentral:rRNA from 1 species